GCAUUAUGUUUGGUACAAGUGUGACAAGUUUACUAAUUUAAAAGGAAAACUCAUGUUGCUACCACAUGCUCACAUUGAUUAAGAGAGGAAUUUGAUCAUAUAAUGGAUGGAGAUUUGGAGUAUUCCUGUUAAAUGAAGGUUAGGAACUCAUUGCUUAAAGUAGUGUGCAUAGAGAAGUUGCUGGGACAAGAAUUUUCAUCAUGUGAAGAAAACUUGGAGAAUUUGAAUAAGUUGCAGUGUGUGAAAGCAUCUUUUAAAUGAUAGUGCGAAUAUUAAAGGAUGGAAGGAAGAAUCUCACUGCUGACGCCCAAGGGGCUGCAAGAGAAGGCAUCUUUGUUUUAUGAUGCAUGCAUCUUCUCUUGUAUAAAGACAUGUUUGAUAUAUGUAGAGGCUGAUAUUCUAGAGAUGUUACAGAUUAUGAUGUGUUUUUUAUCAGCAUUGCUGUGAAUCGGGACACUGUCUUGGCUGGUUGGAAAAAAUGUGACUUUGGUAAAAUGCAUAUCUGUGAUAUUAUUUAUACAAUAUUGUUGAAGUACAUAUGAAAUUCGGGGUUUGAGA